AGAUGGAUGGAGCGAGGUCAGCAAUACACGUGCAAGGAUUGGAUGCAUCCAUCCAUGCCAUGCAUUGGGUCCUCAGAUCAACGGCACGUACGCGCAUGUAGGGUUUUGAAGCAGCGCCAGGCAAGCAAGCGUAGGAGGCGACAGACAUUAAUGGAUGGCUCACGUACGUAUGUUGGAGGUGAUCGAGGAGGUGGGUGAUCAUAGCUUUAGCUCUUAGACUCGCAUCGAUUUUUAUCAUCAUCGUUCGCCGCAAGUUCUUGGCGCACGCCAUGAUUUGAUUUGUUUCCUUAAUUUCUUUGCUCUUUCCUUUGUGUUUCGAUCGUCUUGUAAGGUUAAGAAAUUCUUCUUGCAUCCUUUUGGAGCAAACUUACGUGCAUGCUUCUGUCAUACGGCCGGAACCCCUAUAGCUAGCAUGCUACUCCUAUCUUUCUUGCAUUAUCGAUGCAUGAUUUACAUGUUCCUUGUCUUGUUGAGAUGUCAGUUCUUGUCUUCUUGACGGGAAGUUUAGGACAGACACUUGCACGGCCUACUACUUUUGGCCAUCAAACAUGAACCACUAAAGCUUUGCUAGACCAUAUAUACGUAGGUGCUUGCUCGUUUCUAUUUGUUUCAGGAAUGAUCUCGUUAAGCCUUUCCUUCUUUUUUCUCCUAGUAUUACCCUGUUUUCGGUUAGCAACACGAAAGAAAACUAUAUUGGACAGCGUCAGUACGUAAACAAAGAUUAUGUAUGCCACUUACUUUCCUGAUUCACAAGAGUAGCAUUAGGUCAAUGUUCAGAGGGAUCUUUGAGAGAUCUCCGGCUGAUACAAAAUAGGGUAUUACGAGUAGUGCUGGAAAUUAAGCUAGUGCCAAAUACCUCUCUCGUCCAGGCAGGUUCUGCUGCAUAGACCUGAUAUGAUAUCAUUGGGGUUUCAUGGAGAUUGAGAGUGACAAAUGGCCCUAUAUAUGUUGUUUUCCUAGAAGACAAUAUCUGGUGAAACGGUACAGAGCAUCAGCUAUAAUAAGUUUGGUGUCAUUAUCUUUGGUCCAAGAGGCCGGAUAAAUUUUUGUUCUGUCUAUCCCAAGCUAGUAAGACCGUUUGACAUGUUUUGGAAAGAAAGGGCCGGCCUGUGGUUGACAGAUAAUUAGUUCCCUCGCACCACUGAAUCUGUUGAAUAAGUUAAGCUUGGUGCUACGUAGAAGACAAGAUCAAGAGUAGUUACGGGUUUGCAACGUAGUGGGGAGUGACGAUGCAACACUCGGUGGAAUUAUGAAAAUAAGUCAGGACGAGGAGUAGGAUAAAAGAGAGAGAGGCACGACGAAUGUCGAUCUCAGAGGAUUAGGUGAUGGGGUGAUAUCAUUAGUCGAGAGCCGUUUCCAGACAAAUCAUAGUUUGCACCCUCAGCCUUUUCCUGAUCUUCUUGCAGAACCGUUCCAUUAUUUCGAAUGACGUUUCAGUCUUGACGUGCACAUCUCCCCGCCGGUUACGUACUUACGUUGGGGCUUAGUUUUUAAUCUACUUAUUUCACGAGCAAGUUAAAUUGCCGGCCCGUUGAUUAGAGCACGUAACUCGUGGGAAGAACUAGUAGUGGUGCAAACCAAAUCAAACCAAAGAGAGAGAGAGAGAGAAAACAUCAUAUGGAGUGAGUAUAAUCCAACAGAAAUGGGCUCUGGUCAGCAGUUCACUGGCAACAUUUCAUGUGGGCAGUGCAGAACAACGUAUGUAUGCGCCUCUGUUUUACAGUGCUGGGAACGAGGAUCCACCAACCACUUCCAUGCAAGUGCCGGCGAGAGGCAUGGGCGUACAUGCCGCCUGCCACCGAGAGCUAGAUACGGUACGAGAUCGACGACGGAUCGCGCGAAAAGCCACGAGGAAGAGAGAGCGGCAGAGCGAGCGAGGAGUGGAAAGGUGAUGGGGGCAUGGCAUCAGGCACGAACAAGAUCAGGCCGCCGGCCGCGCGGGUCGUUAUCGCGUGGGCUUGGCGAUGAUCCAUCGAUGGCGAGUGAGUGUGCGGGGCGCGAGGUGGAUGAAUGGAUGGAUGGGAAUGGGAAUGGGAAUGGUGGUGGAAGCGAAUCUCCGGGCGGGCGCUGGUGGAAUCUAACAAAAGAAGGUGGGCUUCGACUGGCCGGCCGGCCGGCCAGUGAGUGGCCUGCUCCUGACGUGCCUCACGGGGCCCCGCGCGAUCUUUACCUUUCCCUCCUUUUCUCACGCGAAAUUAUUAUUGCGCCGACCCGACCCACUCACCCGCGCUUCCCUGGCUGCCCAUGAUCUGCAAGGUCGCUGUCCACUGCCACGGCCCCUCCUUUCCUCGCAGCGUCGUCGAGUCAGCACUUACGCUACUGCUACUACAAUCAUCUAUUCAUAUCAGUGCAUCUUCAGAGCGGAUUUUCAAACCGUCUGCAACCGUUCGGACACUCCCCCACCUUGUAUUGGUCCGCCUAUCAAAAACCAAAAUCAAACGGGGGAGGAAGGCUUUGGACUCCGACACCCCCGACCCACCUAACACCCCUCCCGGACCCAUGCCUACAUAAUGUCAUCUUUCUCUGCAUCUGUUUUCUUUUUUGCCGAUGCCACCGCUCCACCACCCCCACCGGCCCGCCACAGCCCCCCAGGACCCCGCGACUCCAUCCUUUCAUCAUUCUCUGCAUCUGUUUUCCCUCUUGCCGAUGCUACCGCUCCACCACCCCCACCGGUGUUGGAAAUAUGCCCUAGAGGCAAUAAUAAAUUGGUUAUUAUUAUAUUUCCUUGUUCAUGAUAAUCGUUUAUUAUCCAUGCUAUAAUUUUAUUGAUAGGAAACUCAGAUACAUGUGUGGAUACAUAGACAACACCAUGUCCCUAGUAAGCCUCUAGUUGACUAGCUCGUUGAUCAAUAGAUGGUUACGGUUUCCUAACCAUGGACUUUGGAUGUCGUUGAUAACGGGAUCACAUCAUUAGAAGAAUGAUGUGAUGGACAAGACCCAAUCCUAAGCCUAGCACAAAGAUCGUGUAGUUCGUAUGCUAAAGCUUUUCUAAUGUCAAGUAUCAUUUCCUUAGACCAUGAGAUUGUGCAACUCCCGGAUACCGUAGGAGUGCUUUGGGUGUGCCAAACGUCACAACGUAACUGGGUGGCUAUAAAGGUACACUACAGGUAUCUCCGAAAGUGUCUGUUGGGUUGGCACGAAUCGACACUGGGAUUUGUCACUCCGUGUAAACGGAGAGGUAUCUCUGGGCCCACUCGGUAGGACAUCAUCAUAAUGUGCACAAUGUGACCAAGGAGUUGAUCACGGGAUGAUGUGUUACGGAACGAGUAAAGAGACUUGCCGGUAAAGAGAAUGAACAAGGUAUCGGAUACCGACGAUCGAAUCUCGGGCAAGUACAAUACCGCUGGACAAAGGGAAUUGUAUACGGGAUUGAUUGAAUCCUUGACAUCGUGGUUCAUCCGAUGAGAUCAUCGUGGAACAUGUGGGAGCCAACAUGGGUAUCCAGAUCUCGCUGUUGGUUAUUGACCGGAGAGUUGUCUCGGCCAUGUCUGCAUGACUCCCGAACCCGUAGGGUCUACACAUUUAAGGUUCGAUGACGCUAGGGUUAUAGGGACUAGAUAUACGUGGUUACCGAAUGUUGUUCUGAGUCCCGGAUGAGAUCCCGGAUGUUACGAGGAGUUCCAGAAUGGUCCGGAGGUAAAGAAUUAUAUAUGGGAAGUCCUGUUUUGGUCGCCGAAAAAGUUUCGGGUUUUAUCGGUAAUGUACCGGGACCACCGGGAGGGUCCCGGUGGUCCACCGAGUGGGUCCACAAGCCCCGGAGGGCUGCAUGGGCCAAGUGUGGGAGGGGACCAGCCCCAGGUGGGCUGGUGCGCCCCCCCCCCACAAGGGCCCAAGGUGCCUAGGGUUUGGGGAGGGGGCGCCUCCACCUAGCUUGGGGGGCAAGUUUCCCCCUCUCCCCCCCCCUUGGCCGCCACCCUAGAUGGGUUUCGGGCUGCCGCACCCCUUGGGGUGGAAACCCUAAAGGGGGCGCAGCCCCCUCCCUCUCCCCUAUAUAUACUUGAGGACUUUGGGGCUUCCCACACAUGAGUUUUGACCUCUCCAUGGCGCAGCCCUGCCUCUCUCCCUCCUCCUCUCCCGCGGUGCUUGGCGAAGCCCUGCAGGACUGCCACGCUCCUCCACCACCACCACGCCGUCGUGCUGUUGCUGGAUGGAGUCUUCCCCAACCUCUCCUUCUCCCCUUGCUGGAUCAAGGCGUAGGAGACGUCACCGGGCUAUACGUGUGUUGAACGCGGAGGUGCCGUCCGUUCGGCACUAGGAUCAUCGGUGAUUUGGAUCAUGACGAGUACGACUCCAUCAACCCCGUUCACUUGAACGCUUCCGCUUAGCGAUCUACAAGGGUAUGUAGAUGCACUCUCCUUCCCCUCGUUGCUAGAUUACUCCAUAGAUUGAUCUUGGUGAUGCGUAGAAAAUUUUGAAUUUCUGCUACGUUCCCCAACAGUGGCAUCAUGAGCCAGGUUUAUGCGUAGUUUCUAUGCACGAGUAGAACACAAAGCAGUUGUGGGCAUCGAUAUUGUCAAUUUACUUGCCGUUACUAGUCUUAUCUUGAUUCGGCGGCAUCGUGGGAUGAAGCGGCCCGGACCGACCUUACACGUACUCUUACGUGAGACUGGUUCCACCGACUGACAUGCACUAGUUGCAUAAGGUGGCUAGCGGGUGUCUGUCUCUCCCACUUUAGUCGGAUCGGAUUCGAUGAAAAGGGUCCUUAUGAAGGGUAAAUAGAAAUUAGCAUAUCACGUUGUGGUUUUCGCGUAGGUAAGAAACGUUCUUGCUAGAAACCUAUAAAGCCACAUAAAAACUUGCAACAACAAUUAGAGGACAUCUAACUUGUUUUUGCAACAUAUGUCGUGUGAUGUGAUAUGGCCAAAAGGAUGUGAUGAAUGAUAUAUGUGAUGUAUGAGAUUGAUCAUGUUCUUGUAAUAGGAAUCACGACUUGCAUGUCGAUGAGUAUGACAACCGGCAGGAGCCAUCGGAGUUGUCUUAAUUUAUUUAUGACCUGCGUGUCAACAUAAACGUCAUGUAAUUACUUUACUUUAUUGCUAAAGCGUUAGCCAUAGUAGUAGAAGUAAUAGAUGACGAGACAACUUCAAGAAGACACGAUGAUGGAGUUCAUGAUGAUGGAGAUCAUGGAGUCAUGUCGGUGACAACGAUGAUCAUGGAGCCCCGAAGAUGGAGAUCAAAAGGAGCAAAAUGAUAUUGGCCAUAUCAUGUCACUAUUUGAUUGCAUGUGAUGUUUAUCAUGUUUUACAUCUUAUUUGCUUAGAACGAUAGUAGCUUAAAUAAGAUGAUCCCUCACUAAAAUUUCAAGAGAAGUGUUCCCCCUAACUAUGCACCAUUGCGAAGGUUCGUCGUUUCGAAGCACCACGUGAUGAUCGGGUGUGAUAUAUUCUAACGUUCGAAUACAACGGGUGUAAGCCAGAUUUACACACGCAAUACACUUAGGUUGACUUGACGAGCCUAGCAUGUACAGACAUGGCCUCGGAACACGGAAGACUGAAAGGUCGAGCAUGAGUCGUAUAGAAGAUACGAUCAACAUGAAGAUGUUCACCGAUGUUGACUAGUCCAUCUCACGUGAUGAUCGGACACGGCCUAGUUGACUCGGAUCAUGUUUCACUUAGAUGACUAGAGGGAUGUCUAUCUGAGUGGGAGUUCAUUAAAUAAUUUGAUUAGAUGAACUCAAUUAUCAUGAACAUAGUCUAAAUUGUCUUCGCAAAUAUGUUGUAGAUAAAUAGCUCACAUUGUAGCUCCCUGUUUCAUUACGUUCCUAGAGAAAGACCAAGUUGAAAGAUAUUGUAAGCAAUGAUGCGGACUAGGUCCGUAGUCCAAGGAGUGUCCUCACUGCUACACAGAAGGCUUACGUCUUUGAUGCACCGCUCGAUGUGCAAACCCCUACAACGUCGUCUGUGGAUGUUGUGAACACCUGACAGACACAUCCUGAUGACUACUUGAUAGUUUAGUGCACCAUACUUUACGGCUUAGAAUCGAGAUUCCAAUGACGUUUUGAACGCCAAAGAACAUAUGAGAUGUUCUAAGAGCUGAAAUUGGGAUUUCAGGCUCAUGCCCGUGUUGAGAGGUGUGAGACCUCUGACAAGUUAUUUUGUCAACAAGAUGGAGGAGAAUAGCUCAGCUAGUGAGCAUGUGCUCAGAAUGUCUGGGUGCUACAAUCACUUAAAUCAAGUGGGAGUUAAACUUCCAGAUAAGAUAGUGAUUGAUAGAGUUCUCUAGCCACUAUCACUAAGCUACUAGAUCUUCGUGAUGAACUAUGAUAUGCAAGGGAUGGAGUUGAUCCCGGAGCUGUUCGCGGUGCUUAAGACCGCAAAAGGUAGAAAUCAAGAAGGAGCAUCAAGUGUUGAUGGUUUAACAAGACCACUGGUUUCAAGAAGGGCAAGGGCUAGAAGGGAAACUUCAUGAAUGGCAAACCAGUUGCCGCUCCAGUGAAGGAACCCAAGGUUGAACCCAAACCUGAGACUGAGUGCUUCUAUUGUAAGGGGAACGGUCACUGGUAGCGGUAUUACCCCAAAUGUAUGGUAGAUAAGAAGGCUGGCAACUUCAACAAAGUAAAUACGUGUUAUUAAUGUGUACCUCACUAGUACUCCUGGUAGCAUCGGGGUAUUGGAUACCAGUUCAGUUACUAUUAUUGGUAACUUGAAGCAAAAGCUACGGACUAAAUGGAGACUGGCUAAGGGCGAGGUGACGAUGUGUGUUGGAAGUGUUUCCAAAGUUGAUGAGAUCACCAUCGCACGCUCCAUCUGCCUUCGGGAUUAGUAUUGAACCUAGAUAAAUGUUAUCAGGUGUCUACGUUGAGCAUGAAUAUAUCAUGUUCAUUGCAAUACGGUCAUUCAUUUAAGUUAGAGAAUAAUGGUUAUUCUGUUUACAUGAAUGAUACCUUUCAUGGUCAUGCACCCUAUGUGAAUGGUUCAUUGAAUCUCGGUCGUGGUAAUACACAUGUUCACGCCAAAAGAUGUAGAGUUAAUAAUGAUAGUACCAUUUUCUCGUGGCACUGCCGCUUAGGUCAUAUUGGCGUAAGAUGCAUGAAGAAACUCCAUGUCGAUGGAUGUUUGGAUCACUUGAUUUUGAAUCACUUGACACAUGCGAGCCAUGCCUCAUGGGCAGGAUGACUAAGACCCCGUUUUCAGGUACAAUGAAACGGGCAAGUGACUUGUUGGAAAUCAUGCAUGCUGAUGCGUGUGAUCCAAUGAGAAUUGAAGCGUGCGGUGGAUAUCGCUAUUUUCUCAUCUUCACUGACGAUUUUGGUAGAUAUAGGUAUAUCUACUUAUUGAAGCACAAGUCUGAAACGUUUGAAAAGUUCAAGUGAUUUCAGAGUGAAGUUAAGAAUCAUCAUAACAAUAAGAUCAUGUUCCUACGAUCUGAUCAAAAGGGGAUUUUCUGAGUUAUGAGUUUGGCAAUCACUUAAGACAUUGUGGAAUUGUUUCACAGUUGAAGCCACCUGGAACACCACAAGGUAAUGGUGUGUCCGGACGUCGUAAUCGAACCCUAUGAGAUAUGGUGCGAUCUAUGAUGUCUCUUACCAAUCUACCAUUUUCAUUUUGAGGUUAUGCGUUAGAGACAGCUGCAUUCACUUUAGAUAGGACACCAUCUAAGUCCGUUGAAACGACAUCGUGUGAACAUUGGUUUGGCGAGAAACCAAAGUUGUCACUUCUUAAUGUUUGGGGCUGCGAUGCUUAAGGCUUCAGCUGAAGAAGCUCGAACCCAAAGCGGACAAACACAUCUUCAUAGGAUACCCAAAGGUGAUAGUUGGGUACACCUUCUAUCUCAGAUCCGAGGGCAAAUUGUUUGUCGCUAAGAACAGGUCCUUUCUCGAGAAGGAGUUUCUCUCGAAAGAAUUGAGUGGGAGGAAGAUAGAACUUGAUGAGGUUGUCGAACCUUUACUUCAACCAGAGAGUGAUGCAACACAAAAAGAUGUUUUCUGUGGCGCCUACGUCUGUUGAAUAGGAAGUUAAUGAUAGUGAUCAUGAAGCAUCGGAUCAAGUUGCUAUCCAACCUCGUAGGUCGACAAGGAUAUGUACUACUCCUAAGUGGUACGGUAAUCCUGUCUUAGAUAUCAUGUUGUUAGACAACAAUGAACCUACGAGCUAUGGAGAAGCGAUGGUGGGCCCGUAUUUCGACAAAUGGUUAGAAGCCAUGAAAUCCGAGAUAGGAUCCAUAUAUCAGAACAAAGUAUGGACAUUGGUGGACUUGCCCGAUGAUAGGCAAGCCAUUGAGAUAAAUGGAUCUUUAAGAAGAAGACGGACGUGGGCGGUAAUGUUACCGUCUAUGAAGCUCGACUUGUGGGAAAGAGUCUUUUCACAAGUUCAAGGAGUUGACUACGAUGAGAAUUUCUCACCCGUAGCAAUGCUUAAGUCCGUCGGAAUCAUGUUAGCAUUAGCUGUAUUUUUUGAUUAUGAAAUCUUACAGAUGGAUGUCAAAACAAGUUUUCUUACCAAGUUUUCGUAAGAAAAGUUGUAUGUGAUACAAUAAAAGGUUUUGUCGAUCCUAAGGAUGCUAAAAGGUAUGCUGGCUCCAGCAAUCCUUUUAUGGACUAGAGCAAGCAUCUCGGAAUCGGAAUAUAUGUUUUGAUGGAGUGAUCAAAGCUUUUAGGUUUAUACAAUGUUUGCUAGAAACUUGUAUUUACAAGAAAGUGAGUGGGAGCACUACAACAUUUCUGAGAAGUAUAUGUGGAUGACAUAUUGUUGAUCCAAAAUAAUGUAGAAUUUCUGAAAAGCAUAAACGAUUGUUUGAAGAGUGUUUUUCAAAGGAAGACCUGGAUAAAGCUGCUUACAAAUUGGGCAUCAAGAUCUAUAGAGAUAGAUCAAGACACUUGAUGAUACUUUCAAAGAACACACACCUUGACAUGUUUUUGAAGGAGUUCAAAAUAGAUCAGUCAAAGAAGGGGUUCUUACCUGAGUUGUAAGGUGUGAAGUUGAGUAAGACUCAAAGCUUGACCACGGCAGAAGAAAGAAGAAGGACGAAGGUCGUCCCCUAUGCUCUUGUCAUAGGCUCUAUACGGUAUGCCAUGCUGAAGUACCGCACCUAAUGUGUGCCUUGCCACAUGACUGGCAAGAGGGUACAAAGGUGAUCUAGGACUGGAUCACAAGAUAGUGGUCGAAAUUAUCAUUAGAGGAAUAAGGAAAUGUUUCUCGGUUAUGGAGGUGAUAAAGAGUUCGAUGUAAAGAGUUAUGUCGAUGCAAGCUUAACACCUAUCCGGAUAGCUCUGAGUAGAGAUACCGGAUACGUAUAAUGAAGUAAUAAUUUGGAAUAGCUCCAAGUGGAAUGUGGUAGCAGCAUCUAUGAUAUAAAGUUUUGCGAAAUACAUAGGGAUCUGAAUAUGGCAAGACCCGUUGACUACAACCUCUCUCACAAGCAUAACAUGAUCAAACCCAGAACUCUUUGAGUGUUUAUCACAUAGUGAUGUGAACUAGAUUAUUCAGUCUAGUAAACUCUUUGGAUGUUGGUCACAUGGCGAUGUGACCUGUGAGUGUUAAUCACAUGGCGAUGUGAACUAGAUUAUUGACUCUAGUGCAAGUGGGAGACUGUUGGAAAUAUGCCCUAGAGGCAAUAAUAAAUUGGUUAUUAUUAUAUUUCCUUGUUCAUGAUAAUCGUUUAUUAUCCAUGCUAUAAUUGUAUUGAUAGGAAACUCAAAUACAUGUGUGGAUACAUAGACAACACCAUAUCCCUAGUAAGCCUCUAGUUGACUAGCUCGUUGAUCAAUAGAUGGUUACGGUUUCCUAACCAUGGACUUUGGAUGUCGUUGAUAACGGGAUCACAUCAUUAGGAGAAUGAUGUGAUGGACAAGACCCAAUCCUAAGCCUAGCACAAAGAUCGUGUAGUUCGUAUGCUAAAGCUUUUCUAAUGUCAAGUAUCAUUUCCUUAGACCAUGAGAUUGUGCAACUCCCGGAUACCGUAGGAGUGCUUUGGGUGUGCCAAACGUCACAACGUAACUGGGUGGCUAUAAAGGUACACUACAGGUAUCUCCGAAAGUGUCUGUUGGGUUGGCACGAAUCGACACUGGGAUUUGUCACUCCGUGUAAACGGAGAGGUAUCUCUGGGCCCACUCGGUAGGACAUCAUCAUAAUGUGCACAAUGUGACCAAGGAGUUGAUCACGGGAUGAUGUGUUACGGAACGAGUAAAGAGACUUGCCGGUAAAGAGAAUGAACAAGGUAUCGGAUACCGACGAUCGAAUCUCGGGCAAGUACAAUACCGCUGGAUAAAGGGAAUUGUAUACGGGAUUGAUUGAAUCCUUGACAUCGGGGUUCAUCCGAUGAGAUCAUCGUGGAACAUGUGGGAGCCAACAUGGGUAUCAAGAUCCCGUUGUUGGUUAUUGACCGGAGAGUUGUCUCGGCCAUGUCUGCAUGACUCCUGAACCCGUAGGGUCUACACACUUAAGGUUCGAUGACGCUAGGGUUAUAGGGAAUAAAUAUACGUGGUUACCGAAUGUUGUUCUGAGUCCCGGAUGAGAUCACGGAUGUUACGAGGAGUUCCGGAAUGGUCCGGAGGUAAAGAAUUAUAUAUGGGAAGUCCUGUUUUGGUCGCCGGAAAAGUUUCGGGUUUUAUCGGUAAUGUAACGGGACCACCGGGAGGGUCCCGGUGGUCCACCAAGUGGGACCACAAGCCCCGGAGGGCUGCAUGGGCCAAGUGUGGGAGGGUACCAGCCCCAGGUGGGCUGGUGCGCCCCCCCACAAGGGCCCAAGGUGCCUAGGGUUUGGGGAGGGGGCGCCUCCACCUAGCUUGGGGGGCAAGUUUCCCCCUCUCCCCCCCUUGGCCGCCACCCUAGAUGGGUUUGGGGCUGCCGCACCCCUUGGGGUGGAAACCCUAAAGGGGGCGCAACCCCCUCCCUCUCCCCUAUAUAUACUUGAGGACUUUGGGGCUGCCCACACAUGAGUUUUGACCUCUCCAUGGCGCAGCCCUACCUCUCUCCCUCCUCCUCUCCCGCGGUGCUUGGCGAAGCCCUGCAGGACUGCCACGCUCCUCCUCCACCACCACACCGUCGUGCUGCUGCUGGAUGGAGUCUUCCCCAACCUCUCCUUCCCCCCUUGCCGGAUCAAGGCAUAGGAGACGUCACCGGGCUGUACGUGUGUUGAACGCGGAGGUGCCGUCCGUUCGGCACUAGGAUCAUCGGUGAUUUGGAUCACGACGAGUACGACUCCAUCAACCCCAUUCACUUGAACGCUUUCGCUUAGCGGUCUACAAGGGUAUGUAGAUGCACUCUCCUUCCCCUCGUUGCUAGAUUACUCCAUAGAUUGAUCUUGGUGAUGCGUAGAAAAUUUUGAAUUUCUGCUACGUUCCCCAACAACCGGCCCGCCACACCCUUCCUGGAACUCCGCGACUCCGUCACCUCCACCACUACAACCAAGUUCCACAGUGCUUAUCCUCUGUUGUCGGUCCACGCCUCUCAUUUGUUUGUCGCACAAGUACCAUCAGCCCCUACGACAGUCACCAUACCCGGCAAGUGUUUUUAAUUCUUGAAAACCGAGCUGCUUUCUCAUCCCUAUAUAUCCUCGAUCAUGCCGAGUACUUAUGGCAGAGGGGAAACUUGUUGUGAUUUGUUUCAGGACAACUAUUUUCCUUUAUGCGGAUAUCCUUCGACGUGAGUUGUAUACUUCUGACCUGCCGACCAAGUUUAGCGCAUGUUCUGACAGUCAGCUUUUGACUUCUCCCACCUGAGGUACUUUACCAGUUAAAUUAGAAGUGGUAAUCACAGAGGUGCUCCUGGUACGCCCUUAGCAGAACUAGUGAAAACGCAAGGGGUAAACGUAGAAGCCAGACAACCUAACUAUUGACCAAAGACACACGUCGAACUUGAUGCCUAUAAUGGCAUAUGGUUCGAGGAAGUUGUUGGCGACUCAUUGGAGUACCUCGACGUUUGUUAUUCGGGCUGCCAUGCAGCCCCCAGGCUAUCGAUGUGGUCGCUUAACGCAUCCGACAUGGCUUGUAGCCCAAGGAUAAUGGCGUAGUUACAAUGAUCAAAAUUGAAUGAGACCAAGGAUGCACCAUGAGUCACUAGUGCUGAAAAGCCUAGCUAUGAUGUGGCGAAAAAUGCCUUGCUGGCAUGGGAUCCCAACGCCACCAAUAUGGCGCCACUAUUAAAAAAUAGUGGUGGCAUUGGAGCCCACGUCAGAAGUAUUUUAGAUGUUGAUGGCGUGCCAUGUGGCCAACGCAACCACUAAUAUUCAUCAUUACUGGCAUGCCAUGGUGACGCUACGCAAGCAAUUUGAUUUUAGAUUUGAAAUAAAAGUUGUACAACAAUGCUUUCCCAACCAAAUGACAGCAUAAUCCAUUUUACUAACAGCAAUAAAAUGCACUUUUGAUGGUACUAAAUUAAGG
rnacentral:lncRNA from 1 species